rnacentral:rRNA from 1 species
UACGGGGGGGGCAGGCGUUGUUCGGAAUUACUGGGCGUAAAGGGCCCGUAGGUGGCCAACUAAGUCAGACGUGAAAUCCCUCAGCUUAACUGGGGAACUGCGUCUGAUACUGGAUGGCUUGAGUUUGGGAGAGGGACGCGGAAUUCCAGGUGUAGCGGUGAAAUGCGUAGAUAUCUGGAGGAACACCGGUGGCGAAGGCGGCGUCCUGGACCAACACUGACACUGAUGAGCGAAAGCCAGGGGAGCAAACGGG